rnacentral:rRNA from 1 species
AGAGUUUGAUCAUGGCUCAGGAUGAACGCUAGCUACAGGCUUAACACAUGCAAGUCGAGGGGCAGCAUGUUGGUUGCUUGCAACCAAUGAUGGCGACCGGCGCACGGGUGAGUAACGCGUAUCCAACCUACCCUUGUCCAUCGGAUAACCCGUCGAAAGGCGGCCUAACACGAUAUGCGGUUCUCAGCAGGCAUCUAACGAGAACGAAAUGUGAAGGAGAGGGAUGGGGAUGCGUCUGAUUAGCUUGUUGGCGGGGUAACGGCCACCAAGGCGACGAUCAGUAGGGGUUCUGAGAGGAAGGUCCCCCANAUUGGAACUGAGACACGGUCAAACUCCUACGGGAGCA